rnacentral:rRNA from 1 species
GAUGAACGCUGGCGGCGUGCCUAAUACAUGCAAGUCGAGCGAACAGACGAGGAGCUUGCUCCUCUGACGUUAGCGGCGGACGGGUGAGUAACACGUGGAUAACCUACCUAUAAGACUGGGAUAACUUCGGGAAACCGGAGCUAAUACCGGAUAAUAUAUUGAACCGCAUGGUUCAAUAGUGAAAGACGGUUUUGCUGUCACUUAUAGAUGGAUCCGCGCCGCAUUAGCUAGUUGGUAAGGUAACAGCUUACCAAGGCAACGAUGCGUAGCCGACCUGAAAGGGUGAUCGGCCACACUGGAACUGAGACACGGUCCAGACUCCUACGGGAGGCAGCAGUAGGGAAUCUUCCGCAAUGGGCGAAAGCCUGACGGAGCAACGCCGCGUGAGUGAUGAAGGUCUUCGGAUCGUAAAACUCUGUUAUUAGGGAAGAACUAAUGUGUAAGUAACUAUGCACGUCUUGACGGUACCUAAUCAGAAAGCCACGGCUAACUACGUG